rnacentral:lncRNA from 1 species
AGUUGGUUGAACAUCUGACUCUCGAUCUCGGCUCGGCUCUUGAUUGCACAGUCGUGAGUUCGAGCCCCACACUGGGCUCUGUGUUUGGUGUGGAGCCUACUUUAAAAAAAAAAAAUGGCCUUGGGCAAAUUGGAGUUCUCCUCUCUUAAUGGGGAUAAUAAUUCUGACAAUAAUGGGCCAUAAAAUAAUUGCUUUAUAAUAACCAAACCAUUCACUCAAUCAGAUUGUUAUUGAAUGACUUCUGUGUCCCGGGAGUCCACCACAAGCUCGAGUUGCAGCCUAAGCCUUCAGUUCCCUCCACUGUGGGAAUAAUAAUAGCGAUAAUAUUUAUGGCAUGGGUUGUUGAAAAGAUGUAAUCAAAUGAUCCAUGCAAAGGACUUAGUGUAGUGCUUAGCACAUAAUAAAUAACUAAUGUUAGCUCUUGUUAUUAUGACACACACAUAAAGCUUCGCAUAAUCAUAGCCACCAUCUGUUGUGCUCCCAGGGUCUCCUUGCUUCCUGUUCCUAGUAGCCAGUCCCCAGCACCGCUGGCCAGCGUCCAUGACGAUCUGGCGGUACUGGUCAGCAUUCUUCCUGUGGUUAAAGACACCAUCCAUUUUUUUAAGUUUAAGAAAGCAGAGGGGUCACUCCAGAUUCUAGAUGGGAUUGAGGAAGGCUGUGAUACAUACUAAAUUCCAGGGAGAAUUGCCCCACUAAAGAUCACAUGGAGGGUUCAGGAAAAAAAGAAUUCGGAUGAUAUCCUUGAUGUUUUAUUAAAAUACUACAAACACAGGGGCACCUGGGUGGUUAAAGCCUCUGCCUUCGGCUCAGGUCAUGAUCCCAGGGUCCUGGGAUCUAGCCCUGUAUGGGGCUCUCUGCUCAGCAGGGAGCCUGCUUCCUCCUCUCUCUGCCUGACUCUCUGCCUACCUGUGAUCUCUGUCUGUCAAAUAAAUAAAUAAAUAAUCUUUAAAAAAAAUAUUACAACCACAGUAUUCUGUACUGUCUGGUGUACUCUGGGAUUGUAUUACUGCAGGAUCAUUGUAUUUGUAGUGUAGUUUAGUAUGCUGUGUUACAAAUACAGGUUUUUUUAAACAACUUACUCUAUUUAACUUUAAAACUGGUUUUACAAGGUAGAAGUUUUAAAGUUGCUUAAUUGCUAUUCCAUAAAAAUUGUUGAACUUUAUUAUUAUUGACUAAUUUUAUUUACAGCUGGGUGGGACUCAGUUGGUUAAGUAUCCAAUCCUUGGUUUCAGGUCAGGUUAUGAGCUCAAGGUUGUGAGAUGGAGUCCCACGCUGGGUUCAGUGUGGAGUCAACUUGAGCUUCUCUCUCUCUUUCUCCCUCUGCCCCCCCCACCCCCCACCCCCGCUCACGCUCGCUCACUCAUGUGCACACUCUCUGUAAAGAAAUAAAUUCUUUAAAAAAAUUGUUAGACCUUUCAUCGUACUAGGUAAAAUAAUAUUCUCCUAAGGACCUUAUUGAGGCUGUAUUAUUUAUUCCUUCAGUAAAUAGUUAUUGAGAACUUACUUUGGGUUACAUUCUUGAAUUUGGGAAUUGAAAGUUUUUCUGUCUUCUCCAGGUUUAUUUCUGAGUUUCUGCCACGUUAGGUAUUUUCUGUAUUCUUGAAUCUAUUUCAGAAUAGAGGAUUUAGUUUCUCUUUUCUUGCAUGAGUCUUGCAGAGGCUUUAACAAACAGAAACGUGUUAAAACCCACUAUCAGGAAUGGAUGAGUGUUUGCUGAUACUCUUCAAUGAGAGACAGAAAAGGGCCGC